rnacentral:lncRNA from 1 species
GCCUAGGAGGCAUCUCCUGCAGCCCUUCCACAGCUCCACAGGAUCAGAGCUGCCUCCCUCCUACCCCAGGCCAGGGAAGGAGGCUGCGGUCAGGGUUAGGGCAGCUCAUUCGGGACCACUACUACCUUGUAAGCCCUCUACUGUGCAGGGGACCCAAGCCAUGACAUUUCCAGCCAGUCCUAGGUACAUGUACCCCGACAUGUGAUGACCAAUCCCCCCACCCUGUGGUCCGGGGUGGACGAUCUGGGCUCUCUGGGUCCUUCUGGUCCAUGAGCAGGCUUGCUCUUCACAAACUAGAACAUGGAGGCCCUCAUCCCCGCCACCCCGAUCCUCCUCAGGCUAUUCACAAAACACUGUAUACAGGGUGUGUAGUUUGUUCACACUUUUGCUGGCAUAAGUUGUUAAUUUUGAUGAAGUACAGUUGAUUGCUUUUUCCCUUUGGUCGUUGUGCUUGUCGAAUCUAACAAAAACCUCGUCUACCCCAAGCCCGCAGGAACACUCACCUGAAGGCCCAUCCAUAGCCAUCUCGGCACCAGCCCUGAGUUGGGACACGUCACCCCAAGUAUCAGGCAUUCCGAGUAGGGUCCCCAUGGAUCCUUGGGAUGAUGCUGACCUGUCACCAUGGAAUAUCACGGACAAUCAGAGCCUUCUGCACCCUUUCAUCCAUCUCAGAAACAACACCAGCAAACCUGGCGAGCCAACAAGUGGCUAACCAUGCUCAGGAAAUGGGGCCACUACCAGCAAGCAAGAAGGUGGGGCACCGCGUGCCCCCCAAGGGCAUUCUGUCUUGAGGAAGCUGGGGGCCCCCAGAGCUUCCUCCUGCCCUGUCCGUGGGAGAUUUCCCUGUCCGGGAAGAGUCUGCUGCCAGAGGCAAAGCCUCCACUGGUCCAAAGUUUGAGGCAUGGGGAGCGUCAGUUCAAGGCCACAAAACCCUGCUCCUUAUGGAUGAGAGGCCCAGCUCUAGGGAGGCCCAGCCUCUCUGUAGACACCGUGUAGCUGAAGCCACAAUCUUCUCGAUGCCUCCCUUUCUCUGAGCUCUGAGGUGCCGCCCUGGACCUGACUCCCGACGCUGCCUUCCCUUCUGCUGCUGUGUAGUAAGUUUUCAAGGGGGUCCCGCCCGAGCUGCACGUACAGGUGUGUUGCGUUUGCUGGAGAUCCAGAAGGUUAAAUCUCCAGGGACUGAGACUCAGCAGACGGCCUGCCCCACUUUACCCACUGUACUCCACAUCCUGCGGUCUGUUUCCAGCUGUGCUCAACACCUCUUUCCCCAUCUACUCUUGGGUGUGAAUGUGUGGAAAACCACAUCCUCUGCCUCAGAGGCUGGCCUCACUGCUAUCUGGCCGGACUGCAGGCACAUCUGUACUAGGCUGAGGGCAAGGUGUGGGUAGCCAGUCUUCCACAUCGAGAACAGCUACGUAGCAUCUGCCCUCUGUCCCCUCCUGGCUGGAGGAAAAGAGGAGCUCAGGCUAGCACCUCGAGGUUCUCCUCUGACCCUGACGAGACGCGUCAGAGGACCGCCGAGGCAUGCCACCUGAAGUGGCAUGCACCAACCGAGAGUCUUUCAGAGACUCUUCCUAUAUCUCCCUGAAGGCUACCUUACACCUCCCAUCCCAGCAAGCGCUGAGUGCAGAACUAAGGCAGAAAGCCCUGCCGUUCCCUGAUGCCCAGGCGUUCCCUGACACCUCUCCCUCACCUGGAUUAGGGCCUGUAAUCCAGGCUGAUUAGGUUAUCCACACAACGUGUGUGGCUCCUAGGCAGGAUCCGUUGUUGCUCCACGGUCCAGAGGACCAGGGCAGCAUCAUAUCUGUCUCCACACACAGGACAGCAAGCCCACACACAGUAACGGCAUCUUGUGGGCCUACUCAAUGGAUAAUAGGGCUGAGCUCUUGAAGCCCUGACACUUUGGCUUCUCUGUAGAGCGGGCAACUUGGACGUAUUCCCACUCUGGUCCGGUCACCAUAUGUACAAGCAUGUGUGUUAACCACCCAUUGAGUUUGGAAAUUCUUCCUUUGGACGGGUUCUCACUGGCAUGGUCAACACUAUGCCCCUGGUGCCUCUGCUCCACACUCCGUGGUUAACCCCCCAAGAAGUUCAUGUCUCUCCAACAACAUCUAAGGGCUACCGUCCCUUCCACAGCGAACAACGCCCAUGACACAUGGUAAAAACUCACCUGAAUUCUGGCUUCUGGAAUGCCUGUUCUUCUGGCUGGGCUCUCCCUCAUAGCAAUGCCAGGAAACCGCUCCUCCUCAAAGGCUUGAAGGAAGAUACUGGUUUGGGAUGCAGAAAUGAUGUCAGUUUUUUCCUGCCUUCCUUCGGGACUCGACCUAAAGAGAAAACAGUGUUGGAGAGGAGGGCUUGAACGCCAGUAGCACAGCCAGUGUGGAGAUAGAAGUGGGUGUCAGGGUAUAUGUGGUGGUGUGUGACAGUGUGUGAGUGCAUGUGACUGUGUGUGUGUGUGUGUGUGUGAGAGAGAGAGAGAGAGAGAGAGUGCACUUUUCUCUCUGUUCUCUGACUUCAUAGCCUCCCUUCCCUGAGGCCAAGAGCCAGAGUCUGAACCCACCCCUGGAGCCAGCCUUUGGAUAACAAUGGUGAGUGAUAGAAGAAGACGCCUCUGUCCUGACUAGCAGGUUCAGGACAGGAAGACGCAGAUCCUUCCUGGCCCAGAAACAGCCUGCCUGCUGCCUGCCCAACAAUGGCAGGUGGGGUGUCGCCAUCCUCGGUCACGAGGGUGGCUGGAACAUGAGAGCAGAGAUGUGCCCUUCCUGAGGAUUUUGCUACUCCUCGGUAAGCACACAGAGACACAUUCCUGUGUCAAGGAGUGGCUCAGGAGGGGACACUUCUUGGAUGCUGGGGAGUCACCUGGAGGCUCUUCCUGUCCACGCAGUGGCCCUUCUCCUUGGCGGAUUGUGGAGCCCAGUCAGCGGCUCUGCCUUCGCUGUUCCUUCGCUGGUUUUGGCACCAGACCUAAGGGGCAAAAGAAGAAGCAAUGGCCAGGUAACACGGGAGGGCAGCUUAGCCCACACACAUGCAGGGACUCGAGGACCCAAGACCAACUAACACCCCACUGAAAGCCAGAGCUGGCUUAUUGCCUACAUUGUUACAUGUAUUUGCAUGGCCCUUUGGUGUACAAGGAAGAAGGCGUUGGUCUCCCCUGAGGAGUGUAAACUGUAGGUAAACACACAAUGGAUGGUGUUGGUAGAAAAGUCAUUUCUUCUUUGGUCAUCUGCAUGGACAGAUGAUGGGGUUCCUGCUGCAGUCCCCUGAGGGAGCUGAGGAGACUUUGACACAAGAAGACGCUGGAAAUGGGUGUCAUUCUCAUCACAAUUGGACCCUUGCGCAGGCUUCCUCUCCCCUGGAGGCAAAAGACAAAAUUGUCGUCCUGGAUCGGCACCUAUUUCUCUCUAUGUGUCUCUUCCCCUUCCGUGUAGGAGGAGUCAUAGGGUUUCAUGGGGGAAAAGUGAUUGGCCAGGACACAGGAUCUCUGGGACAGUCAGCCCAUGGGCAUGAACCCGUCGUCAGGCCUCAGGCUUUGGGCCCCAGUGUUCCCUCAUCCAGUGAAUGAAGGCCUCGGAAGGAACUCCAAGGGCAAGGGCUCCUAGGGCCCACAGAUUCCCAUGCCAUAGGUUCUGAGCUCCCCAGGUGACCAUGCAGAAGGACGGGCAAUGUCCUAGCCCCGUGUGUGUGUGUGCCUCCUCCCCCAGAGACCAUGAGAGAAGUAUUGGGUCUGCCAACCUGGAUUCUGGACUCAGGUAUGGCCAGUUCUUGGGCCAGGUGUUCUCUGGCAGCGAUCCAGGGUAAGGGUUCUCCUGGAAGAAUGCUUGCAGGGCCCCCUUCUGGCUUGCUGUCAACUCGUGCCUCCUUUGACAAGGUCCUCGUAGAAGUGGACCUGUGUGGGGAAGAGGGCAGCCACAGGAGGAAGGCAUUCAGAGGAGCAUUGACUGGCGAUGUGCUCUCAGCACUCCCCUUUGUGGGGUGUCGAAAAUGUCCCCGUAUAG